GACAAACGCUGGCGGCGUGCCUAAUACAUGCAAGUCGAGCGGACCAAACAGGAGCUUGCUCUUGUUUGGUUAGCGGCGGACGGGUGAGUAACACGUGGGUAACCUGCCCGUAAGACCGGGAUAACUCCGGGAAACCGGAGCUAAUACCGGAUAACACCGAAGACCGCAUGGUCUUUGGUUGAAAGGCGGCUUCGGCUGCCACUUACGGAUGGGCCCGCGGCGCAUUAGCUAGUUGGUGAGGUAACGGCUCACCAAGGCGACGAUGCGUAGCCGGCCUGAGAGGGUGACCGGCCACACUGGGACUGAGACACGGCCCAGACUCCUACGGGAGGCAGCAGUAGGGAAUCUUCCGCAAUGGACGAAAGUCUGACGGAGCGACGCCGCGUGAGCGAAGAAGGGCUUCGGAUCGUAAAGCUCUGUUGUUAGGGAAGAAGAAGCGCCGUUCGAACAGGGCGGCGCGGUGACGGUACCUAACGAGAAAGCCCCGGCUAACUACGUG
rnacentral:rRNA from 1 species